CCUACGGGGGGCAGCAGUGAGGAAUAUUGGUCAAUGGCCGUAAGGCUGAACCAGCCAAGUAGCGUGAGGGAAGACUGCCCUAUGGGUUGUAAACCUCUUUUAUGCGGGGAUAAAGGUGGCCACGUGUGGAUGUUUGCAGGUACCGCAUGAAUAAGGGCCGGCUAAUUCCGUGCCAGCAGCCGUGGUAAUACGGAAGGUCCGGGCGUUAUCCGGAUUUAUUGGGUUUAAAGGGAGCGUAGGCCGGUCUUUAAGCGUGCCGUGAAAUUUUGUGGCUCACCCAUGCGAGUGCGGCGCGAACGGGCGCCCUUGAGUGCGCGUACGGCAGGCGGACUUCGUGGUGUAGCUGUUCACUGCUUAGAUAUCCCG
rnacentral:rRNA from 1 species